GUGACCCUAGGAGUAACAGUCAGAGAGCACAACUUUCUGGAACGUUCCCCUCAUCUUCACAACUUUAGAUUCUGGAGGCAAGCUCCGUGUUCCUCCCCCAAAUUGAAAAGUAUUUCCCCCCGACGACACCUUCGUUCCCACCGGAGGUCCACAAGGGCCACAGUGUGUGCGGAGACCGCUCUGCAGGGAUGUCACCAGGCCCACAGGCGUGUCUCUUAAAUAUGGAAAUAUAUAUAAUAAACUGCUGGCUAGAGGCUGAUUCCUGUUUAUAAGGCGGAUUUUGCACCUCUAUCCUGUUGUGGAAAACAAACACAACCAUUGGAGAAAACAGGCUAACUCAAAAGAGCUGCUGAAGGGCCCUAGGAGAGAGUCCUUGCUGAACUUUGCUCACCUCACCAGCCCUCCCUUAGCUGUAUAUGGAAUACUAUUGCUGAACUUUGCUCACCUCACCAGACCUCCCUUAGCUGUAUAUGGAAUACUAUCUGUGCGAUUUUCAUGUGGCAGAUCGCUGAAGCUGUUCGUGGGUCAAAGCGGAUCUAUGCAGUGGCAACCCUGACAUUCCAAAGGAGCAAAAGGCAUGGAGACCUCUGCCUGGCACUUCAAGAACGAGGGCAAGUUUACCGC